UACAGAGGGGGCAAGCGUUGUUCGGAAUUACUGGGCGUAAAGCGCGCGUAGGCGGCUCGGAAAGUCGGGCGUGAAAUGCCGGGGCUCAACCCCGGGACUGCGUCCGAUACUUCCGAGCUGGAGGUAGGUAGGGGAGAUCGGAAUUCCUAGUGUAGCGGUGAAAUGCGCAGAUAUCAGGAGGAACACCGGUGGCGAAGGCGGAUCUCUGGGCCGUUACCUGAC
rnacentral:rRNA from 1 species